UGAGGAAUAUUGGUCAAUGGGCGGAAGCCUGAACCAGCCAAGUCGCGUGAGGGAAGAAGGCCCUGCGGGUCGCAGACCUCUUUGGACGGGGAGCAAGUCCGCGGACGUGUCCGCGGAAGGAGAGUACCCGUAGAACAAGCAUCGGCUAACUCCGUGCCAGCAGCCGCGGUAAUACGGAGGAUGCGAGCGUUAUCCGGAUUUAUUGGGUUUAAAGGGUGCGCAGGCGGCCCGACAAGCCGGCGGUCAAAUCGCGGGGCUCAACCCCGUCCAGCCGUCGGAACUGCCGGGCUAGAGUGGGCGAGAAGUGCGCGGAAUGCGUGGUGUAGCGGUGAAAUGCAUAGAUAUCACGCAGAACUCCGAUUGCGAAGGCAGCGCACCGGCGCCCUACUGACGCUCAGGC
rnacentral:rRNA from 1 species